AGUGAACGCUGGCGGUAGGCCUAACACAUGCAAGUCGAACGGCAGCACAGUAAGAGCUUGCUCUUACGGGUGGCGAGUGGCGGACGGGUGAGGAAUACAUCGGAAUCUACUUUUUCGUGGGGGAUUACGUAGGGAAACUUACGCUAAUACCUCAUACGACCUACGGGUGAAAGCAGGGGAUCUUCGGACUUUGCGCGAUUGAAUGAGCCGAUGUCGGAUUAGCUAGUUGGCGGGGUAAAGGCCCACCAAGGCAACGAUCCGUAGCUGGUCUGAGAGGAUGAUCAGCCACACUGGAACUGAGACACGGUCCAGACUCCUACGGGAGGCAGCAGUGGGGAAUAUUGGACAAUGGGCGCAAGCCUGAUCCAGCCAUACCGCGUGGGUGAAGAAGGCCUUCGGGUUGUAAAGCCCUUUUGUUGGGAAAGAAAAGCAGCAGGUUAAUACCCCGCUGUUCUGACGGUACCCAAAGAGUAAGCACCGGCUAACUUCGUG
rnacentral:rRNA from 1 species